rnacentral:rRNA from 1 species
UACAGAGGGGGCAAGCGUUAAUCGGAAUUACUGGGCGUAAAGCGUGCGCAGGCGGCGCGUUAAGACAGGUGUGAAAGCCCCGAGCUUAACUUGGGAAUUGCGCUUGUGACUGGCGAGCUGGAGUGUGGCAGAGGGAGGUGGAAUUCCACGUGUAGCAGUGAAAUGCGUAGAGAUGUGGAGGAACACCGAUGGCGAAGGCAGCCUCCUGGGCCAGCACUGACGCUCAUGCACGAAAGCGUGGGGAGCAAACAGG